AGAGGGUGCGAACGUUGCUCGGAUUUACUGGGCGUAAAGCGCGUGUAGGCGGUCUCGCAAGUCGGUUGUGAAAUCCCUGGGCUCAACCUAGGAACUGCAUCCGAAACUGCCUGUCUUGAGUAAUGGAGAGGGUGGCGGAAUUCCCGGUGUAGAGGUGAAAUUCGUAGAUAUCGGGAGGAACAUCAGUGGCGAAGGCGGCCACCUGGACAUUUACUGACGCUGAGACGCGAAAGCGUGGGGGAGCAAACAGGAUUAGAUACCCUGGUAGUCCACGCCGUAAACGAUGAGCACUAGGUGCAGCGGAUAUUGACCUCUGCUGUGCCGCAGCUAACGCGUUAAGUGCUCCGCCUGGGGAGUACGGCCGCAAGGCUAA
rnacentral:rRNA from 1 species